rnacentral:rRNA from 1 species
CUACGUGCCAGCAGCCGCGGUAAUACGGGGGGUGCGAGCGUUAAUCGGAAUAACUGGGCGUAAAGGGCACGCAGGCGGUGACUUAAGUGAGAUGUGAAAGCCCCGAGCUUAACUUGGGAAUUGCAUUUCAUACUGGGUCGCUAGAGUACUUUAGGGAGGGGCAGAAUUCCACGUGUAGCGGUGAAAUGCGUAGAGAUGUGGAGGAAUACCGAAGGCGAAGGCAGCCCCUUGGGAAUGUACUGACGCUCAUGUGCGAAAGCGUGGGGAGCAAACAGGAUUAGAUACCCUGGUAGUCCACGCUGUAAACGAUGUCGAUUUGGGGAUUGGGCUUUGAGCUUGGUGCCCGUAGCUAACGUGAUAAAUCGACCGCCUGGGGAGUACGGCCGCAAGGUUAAAACUCAAAUGAAUUGACGGGGGCCCGCACAAGCGGUGGAGCAUGUGGUUUAAUUCGAUGCAACGCGAAGAACCUUACCUACUCUUGACAUCCAUGGAAUCUUGUAGAGAUACGAGAGUGC